ACUCAAAGGAAUAGACGGGGGCCCGCACAAGCGGUGGAGCAUGUGGUUCAAUUCGACGCAACGCGAAGAACCUUACCUGGGCUCGAACGGCUUCUUAACGGGGGUGGAAACACCUCUAUCCCGCAAGGGAGUGGAGUCGAGGUGCUGCAUGGCUGUCGUCAGCUCGUGUCGUGAGAUGUUGGGUUAAGUCCCGCAACGAGCGCAACCCUUGUCCUGUGUUGCCAUGCCGAAAGGCGGAACUCGCAGGAGACCGCCAGCGAUAAGCUGGAGGAAGGUGGGGAUGACGUCAAGUCCUCAUGGCCUUUAUGUCCAGGGCUACACACGUGCUACAAUGGCCGGUACAAAGCGUUCCCAAGCCGCGAGGUGGAGGCAAUCGCAGAAAGCCGGUCUCAGUUCGGAUUGCAGGCUGCAACUCGCCUGCAUGAAGCUGGAAUCGCUAGUAAUGGCGGAUCAGCAUGCCGCCGUGAAUACGUUCCCGGGCCUUGCACACACCGCCCGU
rnacentral:rRNA from 1 species